GUACGGGGUGAGGCUGCCACCUCGUAGUCGUGUAAGGAAGUGCAGCGUCGCGACGUUACGUUCAGUGCGGGAACGGGGCUGUGCCGCGCUUCAACCGCACUUUCGCUCGGAAAAACACGACGUGGUGUUAAUCAACACAAGCAGCAUGUCAGUAAAAAAGAGCACGAACAAAAAAACAAAAAAUGUAAACGAAUAAAACUGUUUCCUCCGCAUAAGAUGGAAUAAGAGCUAAUUACGGUAACAUUAAAUGCAUGCGGACAGAGGGCGAACUUUCCUUAAAGUUUCGGGCACCAGUUGUUAUUUUCCCGGCCAUAUUGAAAUCUUAAACUAUACACUAUAAAGGAUAAAGAGCCCACAGCGGACAGGAACAUAGGGCCACCCGCUCGUACCCGCUCAGGGUACAAGAUGCAUCUUGGCAAUCAAUGUCUUGCAUUGAUUUUCCACAGGCCGAGCGUACGAUCUGAGUGCCUUGGCUCUGUGACAGACCUUCCUUGAGCGAACGCACAUCACGAUCAUUGGGAUGGCAGGCAUGACAUCCCGCCAAGUUACGCCUUGGCGGGGGCAUGCCCCAUACCUAUACAGCACCGAGAGUUUGGCACUUUUCAGGGUUCCCCACAGAAAUAACCACAACAGCCACAGACACUCAGCCCUUAAAAACAUUAAAUUCUGUACAUUCUCACCCCAUUUCAACAGACAGAAUUAAUAAACAACUUCACAUGUCCACACAAUAAAGCCCCAAACUAAGGGGAUUUUGCGUUUUCUCCUCCACCUCCUCAUUCUUCUUAUUUUUCCUGCCGCCUAUCCCACUAACAACAUGUCUCCCCAUUGGGCAUUUUACCGACACCAGCCAAAUAUUCACCUACACGACCCAAUCGAAAACUCGCAUACACGCGCAAAAUACCCAUACCUUUUUACUCUGAAACAUUGCCAGUUUAGACAGCUAGUCUGCCUGUGGCCUAGUGGGCACAGGGGGUAGGAGGUUCAAGUCUCGCUAGGAACACAUUUCUUUAACCUGCUUUUACCCUCACUAAUAAUUGUCUACUACUUCUCAAUUAUUGCUUUUGCACCAUAUCUACCCGCCGUUCACCGAACGUAUACACUGCAUAUACACCCUGUGUUUUGUAAUCUUACCAUUUUACAAUCUCAUGCAAACUUUGUGUCAGAUCAAAGUGUCACAUAUUUCGAAUUGCCUCAUGGAACACAUUGAAAUUCAUGUAGAAAACUGCUGGUGAGUAACUACAGGAAGCAUAUUUCUCCAGAAAACAUAUGUUUAUACUUGCUUCUGAACUGAAUUUCAGUAAAUGUACAAGUUAUUGUAUAUUUGCUACGUACAAUAAAUACUGCAUGUAAACUACAUAUUGUACAUACAUACAUCGAGAACUUCUUUAUCCCAAUGGGGACAUUUCCCUCGCAGCAUGUUACAUUAACAUUUACGAACACACAUUUAUACCAAGAAACAUACAAUCAUUCACGCAACAGAAAGGCUGGGCAGCGAAAUACGUACAUACCAAUACAAAUUGGACAUACAGACGCCUAUUCAAUCAAUCCUGACUGUGAGAAAGCCAUCCACACAUAUGUUUGGCCUAUCCAUGUACUGCAUGCUUAUACACACGAAAGAAUUGAGAAAAUAUUGGGUAGCAUAGUUUUGGAAUACAUUUUAUUUAAUUUCGGUGAGGGAAGAUAGCCUAUAUUGUUUUUAGUACCGUAACUUGGCGUCAUUUUUAUAUCAAUACUUUUAAUGCCAGGCGUGGAUUUUGGCAGUCUGAAUGAAUGAGUUAUAGACGGUGUAUGUGUGAGUAACUUGGCAUUUUUGUACGUUGAAAACGUGUUUUUUAUGAGAUAUAACUACGGGUGCGCGACUGUCAUUCCUGCUCCUUAGCUAGCUGACCCCUACUUUCAGGAGAUGGCAACUUCAGGUGGAAUCGCGGAAAUCAAAGAAAAUUCGGUUAUUUCCUUGCAAAAACGCCCUUUCACAAGGCGUUCGCUGCAAGAAAAAAAGAGAAUAAAGGAGCUUGGACCGGACCGACCCGAUUUACAAAUUUCGCAGCAGGCAGGUGAUCGAGGACGAGCCUACACCCGGGGCUUCUCCCGCUCUUGUUAUGACAAACGGAGUUGGCUAGCUGGAUGUGGUGUAAGUAAUGCCUUUUAUUUUUUCCCGUUUGCUAUUUCAAAGUGUCGGCACCGAAGCGUUGUGGACAACGACGGGGGUACAAGACCUAUAACAUCUUUCUGAAAAAUGCAAACGGCACGAAAGUAGCCGCAGCCAUCUAGACAAUAGUAUGAGACUAAAAAUCUUUUUGGCAGGUUUAGCAUUGCUGAACAGCUAGGUGAAGGCUACAGGGCAUUAGAAGGCACAACGAAGAGGUGACAAAAUCGACACAUCCUGUCCAGAAUAAUAGACUGUGUGAAAUUUUGUGGAGCAUUUGAGUUGGCUUUGCGUGGCCAUGAUGAGAGUGAGAGCUCCGAUAAUCCCGGGAUAUUCCGUGGGUUGGUGAAUUUUGUUGCCUACUUUGAAUUUCAGCAUUCACAUAUUCACAUUUUGUCCAGCAGAUGGCUCUAUAAAUGACCUUGGAGUUAGCGAAUAUGUUCCUGCUCUUUUUAUGACUUCAUAGAAUGUAACAGUGGCAGUAAAAUUACUUCAGUAGUUCCAUAUUUAGAAAUUGAGCUGUUGCCUGUUGGUAACUUUAGGUGAUGUAGGUGAAAUGGGCAUUUUGUUGUCUCUAAAUAUUAUUUUAUAUUAUUAAGGAGGGCAAAAUAUGUUCAAGUAGUGCUACUGGCCAGUGUUUAGGCAACAUUACAGUGUGUUGUGUUGUUUUAGAUUUAUUUUAAUUUUUUUAUUUUUUGCUGAGCUAUGAAGUGCUGCUUCAGUUUGUUUGUCCCCCCCAAAAACUGCGCCCCCCCAAACAAUUUUAUCACCAGCCGCCACUGGAUGAUAAUAUUUGAAUUAGAUGAAAUAUUACUCUCACAAUGAUGCGGUUUUGAUUUUAAUUUUUUCUCAAUCUGGAUAAGGCUGCAAUACAGGUAACUACCAUGAUGAUGAUAGAAACGCUUCAGUAAAAGAGGGAUACACAGUGCAUUGAAAGCAAGUGCUUCUGCACAGGUUGGAAACACCUAUCUACUCAAGAGUCAGCGUCCCAUCUGGGAAUUGAACCCGUGACCUUGAGGUGCAAGCCCAUUUCCAAAAGCGACACGCUAGGCUACGGGUUCCCUUUCGCUGGGGGAAGUGCAGAGACAGGAAGUGACCCGCACCUGUGGUGUUCCUUCCUGUCUGCACGAGGCUGGGAGGAGAGCGAUAUCUUGAGCCGACGUCUCCGUGGGGAGCUCCAGAUCUCCGGGGUCACUUCUGCACAGGUUGAGGGUGGAUCCAGAUGUAAUUUAAACAUUUAAAUAUCCCAGUGUGUUCCCACUUCUCCCCAGGAUUCCCUUUUUGGGGAGCACUUGUUUUCGGCAGGGUGUUUCAGUGACUAAGGCUGCUGAACAUGCUGAAGUUUCCACCAGGAACAACGGUUUAGAUGAUGUUGUCAAAAGAACCUGAGGGUAACCAGGGGCAACCGCGGUUGAAGGAGUAUACCCCUUGACCGCGAUGUCCUGCAUUGGUCGGAGAAGCGAGGUGAAAACAGACGAGCAUGAGCUCACUACGAACAUCGAUGCAGGACGUGAGCGGGCAGUUUAUUUUGGCAGUUCCCUGUAACACAUUUAUGAGUAUGACGCUGACUGCUUGUUUUUUUUUUAAUGCAGUGUGGUCUCAAAUGUGUGAACUGCAGUUUAGCACUGAGUAUUUUACUGUGCGAAUGGAAAAAGUAAUCAUUUAGCCUAAAUUCUGGAUUCUUUAGCUUUGAAAGAUCAAUAGUUUUCAGCAGUGGUUUUGUGACAGUUUUGUUUAUUUUGUAUCAGUUUUUGUCUACCUGUAUGCUGCCUUUUUACUGAAAUUGCCAGCCUGUGGAAAAGCAGACUUUAGUUAUGUGAAUCAUUUUGUAUUACUCAUAAGUCACUUUUGCAGUCUGCAUUGUUCAUGCUUCUAGAAACUUCCAGCCACAAAAAAAAAUGCUUGUGUUUAGGAUGAUCAGUAUUUGGCUUUAUCAGUCAUAGAUGGAAUCUACAACCAUUAAAAUGGGUUGUGUGUAGUAGGCCAAAGAAAUAUUAUUUUGUGUAAUUGUAAUGUCUUGAAGUUGUUUGAGAAGAGAUCCCAAUACCUACAAUUCCUGCUAUUCCUUUGUUUUGUAAAGCUCAAAAUAUUUCAUAUAACAACAUACUGUAUAAUUUUGAAUUAAAAAAAAUUUCCUUCAAGAAAUGCCAUCUAGUCUGGCUUCCUGUUUUGUUAUUAACCGAAUAACAGAAGCAUGCUCAAAAGAAGAAGCCUGUUCUCACUGGAAGUGGCCUGCCAAAAGCAAGAGAAUAUAUUUAAGUGGCUAUAAGAAUAUAUUUUUGUUUCCAGAGGUACAUUUAUUUAUUUAUUUUUUGUGGGCAAUAUUCUUCAUUGCACACAAAAUCUGUCUCAGCCAAUUGCUAACAUACCCUAAAACUGAAAUUAUAUAUUUUUUGAAACCUCAGAAAGUAAACUAUCACUUUAAUCUCUCGAAUGAUAAAAAAGCUAAACCACAUGACAGUCACAUUUUUUUAACCCAGAAAGCAAAGAAGAGUGAGCUAAAAUUCAUCCACAGCGAUGUGAAAGACUGAUAUCUAAUUAUAGGAAGCAUUUGGUUGCAGUUAUUGCUGCUAAGCGUGAUGCAACCAGUUAUUACAUUUAAGGGGGCAAUUACUUGUACGCAUGGGUGAUAUGAGUGUUUGUUAAAUUUUUUCAUUAAAUAAAUGCAAUAAUUAAAAAAAUGUGUUUUGUGUUUACUCAGGUUUGCGUUGUCUAAUAUUACAUUUCGUCUAAAGAUCUGGAACCAUUUAGUGUGACAAAUACACAAUACUAGAAGAAACCAGGAAGGGGAAAAAUUUUCACAGCACUCGAGGUUUGUCGAUCCUUCACACAACAUACACUGGUGCAGAUAUAAGGAGAGCUAGGCUUUUUCCACAUUUUACUUUUUUUUACCCAGAAAGCAAGCCAUUUACAUUUAGCAGAUAUCUCUUAUGUGGAGUGACUCAGAUGCAUAACAUUUGUACGUCCCUUUUCAGCACCAGCAAGCCCGUUUUUUCCCAAAAGCGGCCACGCUACGGGUUCCCUUUCGCAGGGGGAAGUGCAGAGGGAGGAAGCGAGCUGUACCUGUAGUGUUCCUGUCUGCGCGGUGGCCCGCGGGGAGGUCUGAUAUCUCCAGCUGAGUGUCUCCGCAGUGAGCUCCAGAUCUUUUGGUCACUUCAGCUCGUCACCCGCAGAAAUGGAAACUGCGAGUGGAGAUGUUCCCGCCCACCCUGCAGGCGUCACCGCCCCGCCCCAAAUUUUUGGCAGAUUUUGGCAGUCUGGAUGAAUGAGCUAUAGACGGUGAGAAAUUAGGAGAAAUUAUGAAAUUGCGUAGUUGAAACAAUAUGUUUUUAGCAGAAUGGACAUGUAGGUGAAGGUUGACAUGAUCACAGACUAUAGUGCGAAGUAAAUGAAGUGACCAUGAGCGAGCUUAGUUUCCUUAUCGAAGGGUAUAUGUAACAGUCUGUAUAACAUAUUUGUCGUUAAAGUGGAGGGUUAAGUAACGCGUGAAAUCUAUUGCACUGAUGUGCUUUUCUCAUGUUCAGUACUAGUAGUUAUAAUUAUGAGUGAGUCAUGAUUUUAAAUGUAAUGUUUUAAUGGGGAGUUGCAGAACGUACAUACGUAGUAAUUGUUUGUAUGUGGCUAGAUAGAGAACAGGGCGAGGUAACAUGAAUGUAGAAACGUGCUGUUUGCUGAUAAGAAGGUUUUGUACGGUAGCCAAAUGAAGAAAUAUAGUUAGUAGAAAUGGCACAGUGGUGAACUGGUGUAACUUUUUAAUAAAAGGAAUGCAUUUGCCGUCAUGAAAUGCAUCAAAUAUAUAAAUAUAAGCAUAAGAAAACGUUAGUGUAAAAGAGGAAAUGAUCUGUCUGAGGGCGAGGCGAGACAUGACAUAGCGAUGCAAUGCGUGAAAUACCAUUAGCAAACCUGUCCGUGGUUUUAAAGAAGAACACAGGCCAGUAAGCACAGAGGAGCUCCCGUUGAAUCCAUAUGGCUUUGCAAUAUUGUAGCCGGUUAAUAACUGAACGUGCAGUCGGUACAUCAUAAUGCAGUGUAUACGUUCGGUGAACGGCAGGUAGAUAUGGUGCAAAAGCAAUAAUUGAGAAGUAGUAGACAAUUAUUAGUGAGGGUAAAAGCAGUUUAAAGACACGUGUUCCUAGCUGGGCUUGAACCUGGGACCCCAUGUUCCCAAAACUGUAACCUUGCCCACUAGGCCACAGGCAGACUAACUUUUUAAACUGGAAAUGUUUCAGAGUAAAAAGGCAUGGGUAUUUUGCGUGUGUAUGCAAGUUUUUGAUUGGGUCGUGUAGGUGAAGAUUUGGCUGUCGGUAAAAUGUCCAAUGGGGAGACAUGUUGUUAGUGGGAUAGGCGGCCGGAAAAAUAAGAAUGAGAAUAAGAAGAAGAAGGAGAAAAUGCAAAAUCCCCUUAGUUUGGGGCUUCAUUGUGUGGACAUGUGAAGUUGUUUAUGAAAUCUGUCUGUUGAAAUGGGGUCAGAAUGUACAGAAUGUCAUGUUUUUAAGGGCUGAGUGUCUGUGGCUGUUGUGGUUAUUUCUGGGGAACCCUGAAAAGUGCCAAACUCUCAGUGCUGUAUAGGUAUGGGGCAUGCCCCCGCCAAGGCGUAACUUGGCGGGAUGGCAUACCUGCCAUCCCAAUAAUGUUUGCCUGUAUGAACAGUGAGCACUGUUUUUCAUACCAGAACCAAAAGCAGAACUGUGUAGAAUAUUGGCGUAAUGCACACAACUGUUUUUUUUUUUUUUUUUGGCCAAAUUGACAGUUGGACAUAAAGUGGUCAGUUCAGAGUUUGGUUUGUCAGCUGUGCGCACAUAUCUGCUCCUCCCAGUCAAAAUCAGGUGGUGAGAUGGUAGUCGUUUGACAACACAACAGUUUUGUUGACAGAUCUCAGCAUGUGAGGAGACCAGACCCACUAUGUUCGAUCUAUGUUCUGCAUCGCAUAUGAUGAAAUUCUCGCACUUUGAUUUUUAUUCCGUUUUAAAGUGAAUUUCUGCACUUUUAUUUUUAUUUAUUUAUUUAUUAUUAUUAUUUUAUUUUAUUGCCUUGUUUUAUUUGUUAUUUUCUAUCUUACUCUAUUUUAUUAAUUCUGUGUCUUAUUCCGUAUCUAUGUGAACCACUUUGAAUUGCCUUGUGUAUGAAAAGUGCUAUACAAAUAAACUUGCCUUGCCUUG